rnacentral:rRNA from 1 species
AGAGUUUGAUUAUGGCUCAGGAUGAACGCUGGCGGCGUGCCUAACACAUGCAAGUCGAACGAAGACUGCGCGGCGGAACUCUCCGGAGGGAAGAUGCGCAGGACUGAGUGGCGGACGGGUGAGUAACGCGUGGGUAACCUGCCCUGUACAGGGGGACAACAGCUGGAAACGGCUGCUAAUACCGCAUAAGCCUACAGUGCCGCAUGGUACAGCAGGAAAAACUCCGGUGGUACAGGAUGGGCCCGCGUCUGAUUAGUUAGUUGGCAGGGUAACGGCCUACCAAGACAACGAUCAGUAGCCGGCUUGAGAGAGUGGACGGCCACAUUGGGACUGAGACACGGCCCAAACUCCUACGGGAGGCAGCAGUGGGGAAUAUUGCACAAUGGGGGGAACCCUGAUGCAGCAACGCCGCGUGAGUGAAGAAGUAUUUCGGUAUGUAAAGCUCUAUCAGCAGGGAAGAAAAUGACGGUACCUGACUAAGAAGCUCCGGCUAAAUACGUGCCAGCAGCCGCGGUAAUACGUAUGGAGCAAGCGUUAUCCGGAUUUACUGGGUGUAAAGGGAGCGCAGGCGGUACGGCAAGUCCGAUGUGAAAGCCCGGGGCUCAACCCCGGGACUGCAUUGGAAACUGCCGCACU